rfam:TPA: Bos taurus chromosome X, whole genome shotgun sequence.
UCCCUGGUGGUCUAGUGGCUAGGAUUCUGUGGUUUCACUCCCAUGGCCCAGGUUCAAUCCCUGGUCAGGGAA